UGCCAGCCGCCGCGGUAAUACUGAAGGUCCAAGCGUUAAUCGGAAUCACUGGGCUUAAAGCGUACGCAGGCGGAUUUGUAGGUAUCUUGUGAAAUCCCACGGCUCAACCGUGGAACUGCAGGGUAAACCACAAAUCUUGAGACAAGUAGGGGUCAGUGGAACUAUGAGUGGAGCGGUGAAAUGCGUAGAUAUUCAUGGGAACGCCAAUGGCGAAGGCAACUGACUGGGCUUGUUCUGACGCUCAGGUACGAAAGCGUGGGUAGCGAACGGGAUUAGAUA
rnacentral:rRNA from 1 species